CCAGCACGCCCCUGCGUCUACACGAAAGUGGUCUCUGACAUCGAGUUCCCCCCGUACUUCCUCUUUGGCUGCCUCCUUUGGUGAAGGCAAGACUCACGAGGGAGGUGGGGGUGGAGGACGUGCUGCUGGGCUCCAUGUCGAACACCGUCUGGGUCUCCUCCUCCGGCUGCAGCAGGGAGACAGGCAGUGAGCAGACCUCAGCUCUGCAAACAACCGAGAGAAGGCUGGAUCCCUCUGGAAUGUGCUAUUCCCAAGCAAGUAAGCAAAGCUGCAAUUAGGGUAGAAAGGUAGGGCUGCUUUGACACCUGUUUCUGGCUGGAUGCCCCCUCCAUUGUUCUGGGAGGAGUGCCAAACGAAUCUGCUCUAUGUUCUCUGCCACCUUCCUGCCCUAGAGUGACACUCGGAUGGCCACCUCACUGUACCAGACACAGUUAGCUGGGUACCUGUGAUCCCAGCACUCUGGGAGGCUGAAGCAGGAGGAUUACAAGUUUGAGCCCAACCUG